rnacentral:rRNA from 1 species
GUAGGGAAUCUUCCACAAUGGACGAAAGUCUGAUGGAGCAACGCCGCGUGAGCGAUGAAGGCCUUCGGGUCGUAAAGCUCUGUUGUUAGGGAAGAACAAGUAUCGGAGUAACUGCCGGUACCUUGACGGUACCUAACCAGAAAGCCACGGCUAACUACGUGCCAGCAGCCGCGGUAAUACGUAGGUGGCAAGCGUUGUCCGGAAUUAUUGGGCGUAAAGCGCGCGCAGGCGGUCCUUUAAGUCUGAUGUGAAAGCCCACGGCUCAACCGUGGAGGGUCAUUGGAAACUGGGGGACUUGAGUGCAGAAGAGGAAAGCGGAAUUCCACGUGUAGCGGUGAAAUGCGUAGAGAUGUGGAGGAACACCAGUGGCGAAGGCGGCUUUCUGGUCUGUAACUGACGCUGAGGCGCGAAAGCGUGGGGAGCAAACAGGAUUAGAUACCCUGGUAGUCCACGCCGUAAACGAUGAGUGCUAAGUGUUAGAGGGUUUCCGCCCUUUAGUGCUGCAGCUAACGCA